GGUAGCCGGCCUGAGAGGGUGUCCGGCCACACUGGGACUGAGACACGGCCCAGACUCCUACGGGAGGCAGCAGUGGGGAAUAUUGCACAAUGGGCGCAAGCCUGAUGCAGCGACGCCGCGUGAGGGAUGACGGCCUUCGGGUUGUAAACCUCUUUCAGUAGGGAACAAGCCUUCGGGUGAGGGUACCUGCAGAAGAAGCGCCGGCUAACUACGUGCCAGCAGCCGCGGUAAUACGUAGGGCGCAAGCGUUGUCCGGAAUUAUUGGGCGUAAAGAGCUCGUAGGCGGCUUGUCGCGUCUGCUGUGAAAACCCGGGGCUCAACCCCGGGCCUGCAGUGGGUACGGGCAGGCUAGAGUGCGGUAGGGGAGACUGGAAUUCCUGGUGUAGCGGUGGAAUGCGCAGAUAUCAGGAGGAACACCGAUGGCGAAGGCAGGUCUCUGGGCCGUUACUGACGCUGAGGAGCGAAAGCAUGGGGAGCGAACAGGAUUAGAUACCCUGGUAGUCCAUGCCGUAAACGUUGGGCACUAGGUGUGGGGUCUGUUUCCACGGAGUCCGCGCCGUAGCUAACGCAUUAAGUGCCCCGCCUGGGGA
rnacentral:rRNA from 1 species